rnacentral:rRNA from 1 species
UACAGAGGUCUCAAGCGUUGUUCGGAUUCAUUGGGCGUAAAGGGUGCGUAGGCGGCGCGGUAAGUCGGGUGUGAAAUUUCGGAGCUUAACUCCGAAACUGCAUUCGAUACUGCCGUGCUUGAGGACUGGAAAGGAGACUGGAAUUUACGGUGUAGCGGUGAAAUGCGUAGAUAUCGUAAGGAAGACCAGUGGCGAAGGCGGGUCUCUGGACAGUUCCUGACGCUGAGGCACGAAGGCCAGGGGAGCAAACGGG